CUGGUUGAUCCUGCCGGAGGCCAUUGCUAUCGGAAUCCGAUUUAGCCAUGCGAGUUGCACGAAUUCAUCUUCGUAGCGAACUGCCCAGUAACACGUGGCCAAUCUACCCUAUGGACUCGGAUAAUCUCGGGAAACUGAGGCUAAUCCGUGAUAGCGCUCCCACGCUUGAAUGGCGGGGAGCGUGAAACGCUCCGGCGCCAUAGGAUGGGGCUGCGGCCGAUUAGUAGACGGNUGGGGUAACGGCCCACCGUGCCGAUAAUCGGUACGGGUCAUGAGAGUGAAGCCCCGGAGACGGACUCUGAGACAAGAGUCCGGGCCCUACGGGGCGCAGCAGGCGCGAAACCUUUACACUGCACGACAGUGCGAUAGGGGGAUUCGGAGUGCGAGGGCAUACAGUCCUCGCUUUUGUGUACCGUAAGGUGGUACACGAAUAAGGGCUGGGCAAGACCGGUGCCAGCCGCCGCGGUAAUACCGGCAGCUCAAGUGAUGGCCGAUAUUAUUGGGCCUAAAGCGUCCGUAGCUGGCCGUGCAGGUCCGUCGGGAAAUCCACUCGCCUAACGAGUGGGCGUCCGGCGGAAACCGCACGGCUUGGGACCGAGAGACCAGAGGGGUACGUCUGGGGCAGGAGUGAAAUCCUGUAAUCCUGGACGGACCACCGGUGGCGAAAGCGCCUCUGGAGAGCGGAUCCGACAGUGAGGGACGAAAGCUAGGGUCUCGAACCGGAUUAGAUACCCGGGUAGUCCUAGCCGUAAACGAUGCUCGCUAGGUGUGGCGCAGGCUACGAGCCUGCGCUGUGCCGUAGGGAAGCCGUGAAGCGAGCCGCCUGGGAAGUACGUCCGCAAGGAUGAAACUUAAAGGAAUUGGCGGGGGAGCACUACAACCGGAGGAGCCUGCGGUUUAAUUGGAUUCAACGCCGG
rnacentral:rRNA from 1 species